AUGUUAUUUCAGUUUUGUUUAAAAAUCAGGUUUCGAUGUUACUGGCGCCGCUAAAUACGACCUUGAUUUCAUCUCUCGCCACCGUAUUUGUCUAUAAAACUCCGUCGCCAAAGCAUGGCAGUGGCUCCCCUUUCUUCUCUCGUUGCUAGAAUCGUUAAACCACCACUGAACCGAGAAACUAUUUUUGUCAUCGGAAACGCGUCUGAGAUCAGGGCGCAUGUUUUGGAAGGGAAUAAAAGUGAUAUUUACGAAAUUUGAAGGGCUACUUUUUUCCUACCGAUCCCAGUCCUCCAUGGUGGUUGUCGUCUUGGUUGUAUGAUCGGAGGUCUGACUCUAGAGAGAGAAAAGAGACAACUGUAUGUUGUGAAGACGAUCAAUUCAAGACAGUGAAAACAGAUUACUAAACACUCAUUUGCCAGCAGGGUAUUUUUGUAAUUAUGUCGGUGCACUGUUGCACCGACCUUUGUUUUUAAGAUAUAUAUAAUAUAUAGGAGAAGGAUCCGUUAGGA
rnacentral:lncRNA from 1 species